rnacentral:rRNA from 1 species
UACAGUAGGGUCAAGCGUUGUCCGGAAUUAUUGGGCGUAAAGAGCUCGUAGGUGGCUCGUCAACGGUCGGAUGUAGAAACUCUGGGGCUUAACCCCAGACCUGCAUUCGAUACGGGCGAGCUUGAGUAUGGUAGGGGAGUCUGGAAUUCCUGGUGUAGCGGUGGAAAUGCGCAGAUAUCAGGAGGAACACCAAGUGGCGAAGGCAGGACUCUGGGCCAUUACUGACACUGAGGAGCGAAAGCGUGGGGGAGCGAACAGG